CUUCUGAAGGCUGAGGGAUGCAAAGUGGGGCGGCAGAGGUUGGAGAAAGAGAGGAGCUGGUGAGGACACUAAGGUUUGGGGCCUGAGUCCCUGGAAAGACAGAGGUGGCAUUUUCUGAAGUGAAGAUGACUACAGGAGGGGUGGGGUCACGCAGGGAGGUGACGAAGUUCAGUUUCCUGCCGGGAGGCUGAGUUCAGUGAGGCGUGUGCAGCCGCAGCUGGGUAUUCAAGCCUGAGUUCAGGUGAAACAUGCUGGCAGGAGGUGUAUGUUUGGAGGUGUUUAGCGUGGAGAUGGUAUUUAGAGACUGGCUUUCUUCGUCUGUAAAAUGGGAAUUGAACACCAUCUGCUUUGCAAGGUUGCUGUGAGCCUGGCUUAAGCAUUGAGAGGCCCCGGGCAGGUAGCAAAGUGAAGAUACGGAAAUGGAAGCUCAGAGAAGUUAGGUGACUGAGCCAGCAAACGGCAUAGCCGGGAUUCAAGGGCUGACCUUACAGUCCUGCGCUUGACCCUUCCCUCCUGUUGUCCGCAUUCCCAGCACCAGGCCCUUGGAUCCUAAACUGACCAGACUGGGGGAGGUUCCCAGUUGAGCAGGAAGAUGACCAUGAGUGGAAAUGCCUUCCAGGACAGGAAGAGCACAGGACCCAGAAUAUCUCUGAUAUUCUGGGAGACACUGAACCUGCUGUACAUAUGGAAAAAAGAAAAUGAAAUGUUUUGGACACUUGCUUCACCUGUGAGGUGAAUGCUUUCCAUCUACUUUACACAUACAUAGAAGCCCUCCACCCCCUGGUGAGGCCUACUGUGUGUUAGCACCUGCUGGCUGUGGGGGACAGAGGCAUGACACUCCUUGCCUCCUGGAACUUUCUGCACAGUGGAGAAGGCAGAUAAUUAUCAGAUUAUCUGAUCAUCAAAUACAAAUGCAUUGUCACAAGCUUUGAUCAGCGCUAAGAAGAAAAGCUACCUGGGACUGCAAGAAUGUUACAGACAUCAGGUGAUGGAAAGAGCCUGGGAGGAUGUACUCCAAAAUUUUAAAGGUGGAGUAAGAUUUCAGUACGCAGGCCUCUCACUGUUGUGGCCUCUCCCGUUGCAGAGCAC